rnacentral:rRNA from 1 species
GACAGAGGAGGCGAGCGUUAUCCGGAGUCAUUGGGCGUAAAGGGUAUGUAGGCGGCUAGUCAAGUCUGAGGUUAAAGACCACAGCUUAACUGUGGGAAGGCCUUGGAAACUGACUGGCUAGAGUGGGGCAGGGGUUGCGGGAAUUCCCGGUGUAGCGGUGAAAUGCGUAGAUAUCGGGAAGAACACCUGAGGCGAAAGCGCGCAACGGGGCCCUAAAUGACGCUGAGGUACGAAAGCUAGGGGAGCGAAUGGG